UAUCUAUGUUUUAGAAAUUGUUUUCAUGUAGGAAUUUAUUUUUUACCAAACAAACAUAAUAAAUUAAUGAAAACAUUUUCAUUUACUGCCAAGCAAAAUUACCCUCUGAUUUUUUUUUCUUUCUAAUUUUGUUUAGUGAUUGAAACAAAUAGAAUUUUAUUAUAGAAAUUUCGCAAGUAAGAGAUGAAAGAUUCAAAAACAAAUUAUUAAGAUGACAAAAGUCACAUCCGACUUAGUAGAAAGCACAACCAACCUAUUGGAAAAGGUCACAGAAGACUUAACAAGAGGCUAGAAAAGGCCAACAAAAAUCGACAAAGACUAUAAGAAACAUGACUAAAACUGACAAAGCUUCAACCUUGCCCCGAUCAACAAAAACCAACAAUAUAAUCUUCAUCAUCACCACCAAGGAUAGCCGAGAGAGGAAGAGCUUUCAUUUGAGAUUGUAGCAUCGUAUGAGAUUGAAGACCACCCAAUCAUGAAGACCUUCAGGCAGGGUCAUACACCUUAGAACUCCUUUGUGAACUCUAAGCACUAGGGGUAGCGGAAAUCACCCAAUAAAAGGCCAAGCACUCACAUCUGGAAGAGCCUCAUCCCUUUAAAAAGAGAGACGGGAAGAUCACCUUCGACCUAAGAAAGAUGUUGAUGUAACCAGACUUUGGCACCAUCGUAGUGCAACCCCCAAAAGAUCCUAAAGAAAAACACCAGCAUACACACAUAAUAAAAACUUAAAAGCAUAUCAAAAAAGGAGAAAGUGAAAGAAAAGGGCGAGAGGGGAGCACAUGAUGAUUAGAGCAAAGCUAGCCGUGUGAUUAGGGAAGCAGCAACUGCAAGACAAGUGGAAGCGGUGGAAGGGGUGGGAGAAGCGGAGGAAGACGAAAGAGUAGAAGCAAAAGAAUGGAAAAAGAGAAAGGACAGCCGGGUUGAAACAGGAGUCGGAGAAAAAGUGAGGACUUGGGGAAGAGAAAGUCAAGGAUUGGGAGGCCGACAGUCAACCCUAAGGCUACCGCAUGGCAUUAAUGUUAAACAGUUCUCCUCCAAAUACCAAAAUGAAAGAGAAAGGUAUCUAUAGGAACCUCUUUUUUUUAUUAUUGGAAAAGAAACGUUUAUUUUGUCACACAUUUUGCCCUUCUUUUAUAAUAACCUUAAAUUUAUACCA